UGCGCAGAGACGUUCCAAGUUCAUCAGACUUCAUUUCACGACUUCCCCAACAUAAUCAUAAUAAUACAACAGUUUUCAACUUAAAGAAACACAAUAUUUACAAUGCAAUUCAAAACGGCUUCAAUUUUCAUUUUGGCUUUGGGCUUGGCCACCUGCUCAGCUUCGGAUUUUGCCCCGGCCCAACCAAACGAAAAUUCCAAGGUAGAUGGACAAGAACGAGCUGUUGCCAUUGACGAUGGGACCAUAAUUUCUCUCCAAGAAAACCCAAUCGCUCCGAAAUGUACGUACUGCGGGGGAUUUAGUCACGCCGGAUGCAGUAAUCACUGCUACUGGUCCGGAUACCGGUGUUACAGUUGUAUUGCGCAUCCGUGCUAUUGCGUCUGUUCAAAUUCGGGAUGCUAAAUUUUUUAUUGGAAAAUGUCCCUAUAUUCAUAAUUUUCUACUAGUUCAUAGUCUACAUCUUAUGUACAUAUAUCAAUGCAUAUAAUUAUUUGGAAAAAACCUCCGCCUUUUCAACUACAUAAUUAGUUUUGUACAAAUUUAUACAAUAAAUUCAAUAAAAGCUUACAAUCAGAA